rnacentral:rRNA from 1 species
GUCCAUGCUGUAAACGAUGAAGACUAGAUGUUGAAGGGUAAAACCCUGCAGUAUCGAAGCAAACGCGAUAAGUCUUCCGCCUGGGGAGUACGGCCGCAAGGCUAAAACUCAAAGGAAUUGACGGGGGCCCGCACAAGCGGUGGAGCAUGUGGUUUAAUUCGACGCAACGCGAAGAACCUUACCUACUCUUGACAUCCUGUGAAUUUGACUGAGAGGUUGAAGUGCCGAAAGGAGCACAGAGACAGGUGCUGCAUGGCUGUCGU